UGUCGUGCCAACGGCACAGCUGGGUAGCUACGUAUGGACGAGAUAAACGCUGAAAGCAUCUAAGCGUGAAACUCCCCCUAAGAUGAGAUCUCUCACUCUGAAAAGAGGUAAGGGCCCAGGAAGACUACCUGGUUGAUAGGCCGGAGGUGGAAGUGCAGCAAUGUAUGGAGCUGACCGGUACUAAUCGCCCGAGGGCUUGACCUAC
rnacentral:rRNA from 1 species